UAGCAUGCUUGAACUGUCGGCAUAACAAAUGAUAAUACGUCACAUAUUUGAGUAAAUGUCGGGGAAAAUCAGUGAUUUUUUAUGGAAAAUAUGCUUCUAUCGAUGACAAUUCAAGUGGGUGCACGUGUCACUCUUGCACUCUUUGAAAUUUUUCUUGUUUUAUUCAUCUCUCUCGCACUAACUGCGUUCUGGAGCCCAACGCCAUCUGUUCUCCACCUCUUUUGGAUGGAAUUUUAACUUUUCCUGCUCACUUCAACAUAUCCACGGGCUACCAUAAAUGGAAGUUGUGAAUUUGCCCAUUCAAGCGCACCAAAUUUGGAAUUUUGUAUUUUUAGAUUAGAAAGAUAACCAAUUAACGUAAUUAGCUGCAAUUUUGUUGAAUUGCAGGAGACUAAAGGAAGUAUUUUGUAAAAUUGGAGAAAGCAGGAGGGAGGAUGAAAAAAAAAUCAAAAUGUGUAAAAAAAAUUAAUUCAAUUUUGUCGUUUUCCAUUUUACAAGAUACCUCCUCUAUUCUCCUGUUACCCUGAUAAAAAUUGGUUUUCUGAA